GUGCAGCAGGCGAGAAACCUUCGCAAUGCGGGAAACCGCGACGAGGGGACUCCCAGUGCCUACGCUCAGCGUAGGCUGUUCCCGAGCCUAGAAAGCUCGGGGGGUAAGGGCUGGGUAAGACGGGUGCCAGCCGCCGCGGUAAUACCCGCAGCCCGAGUGGUGGCCACUAUUAUUGGGCCUAAAGCGUCCGUAGCCGGCCCGGUAAAUGCCUGGGUAAAUCGUGAGGCCUAACCUCACGAAUUCCGGGUAGACUGCCGGGCUAGGGACCGGAGGAGGGAGAGGGUACUCCAGGGGUAGGGGUGAAAUCCUGUAAUCCCUGGAGGACCACCGGUGGCGAAGGCGCUCUCCUAGGACGGGUCCGACGGUGAGGGACGAAAGCCAGGGGAGCGAACCGGAUUAGAUACCCCUGUAGU
rnacentral:rRNA from 1 species